rnacentral:rRNA from 1 species
GUUAUAGCCUUCGGCAGAUGUGAUGAUUGGGAUUGAGGAUUGCAACGGUUACCCUUCGGGGCUACCUGUCUGAUCUCUGAUCGUUGCUCUGGUGCCGUAAAGCUUGCCUACGGUUAU